GCAGCAGCAUGCAGCUUGCAACAGCAGCACCUGCUGCAGGGACAGCAGAUUAUAAAAAAAAAGAAGGGAAAAGAGAAAUAGAGGGAAAAGAGAAGAAAAGAAAAGAGAGUAAAACAAGAGAGAGUGAAAGGGAAUGAUUGAAGUGGAAAGGAUUGGAAUAAUUAGCCAAAUUCGCGAUUCUGAUGUCAAAUUGACACUUACAGGGUGUUCCGGAGUGUACAUUUAAGUGCCCCACACAUCUCGUUAGUCGCAAUUUAAGUUAAUUAACUUUCAAUUUGUGUAAAUUGAGUCUGGAUUGAAAAUUAGCCUUUUGAUUGCAUUUCCGGAUGUUUUGACUUGUUUAGUGAUUCCGGGAAAAGACUCAGCUUUGUCGGAGAGCUUUGUGGUGGCAAUGCAUUAAGGAGCACAAUUGUUGUGGGAAAUGAGAUGAAACGGCAAAGAGCCCACAAUACAAUGUUUCAUGUGCCCUGGAGAUGUGAACGGGUAUUUGUAUUUUGGUCUGCGGAGUAGAGGUGAUACAACUCACUAUGAUGCUGUUGCGAAUUCAGCAGCAUCUGGAGUACUCUCUGCUGGAUUAGCUUCAGGAUAGUAAAACUAUUUGUAUUAGCUACGUUGCAGUAUUUAAAAAGGUCUUUUUUCUAUGCCCUGAGAAAUGGUGGUUGGCUUAGGUCUUAAUCAUCUUGGUAGUGGCUGCAUUCCUUCUUUUGACUGUUGAUGGCCCACAUGAAAAGCAUGUCCAAGAGCUUCUUAAUUAUGCCAGAUAUGGAUUGUGGUGGGUAUCUCUAGGAGUGGCAUCAUCAAUUGGACUAGGCAAGU